UACGUAGGGUGCAAGCGUUGUCCGGAAUUACUGGGCGUAAAGGGCUCGUAGGUGGCCAACUAAGUCAGACGUGAAAUCCCUCAGCUUAACUGGGGAACUGCGUCUGAUACUGGAUGGCUUGAGAUUGGGAGAGGGAUGCGGAAUUCCAGGUGUAGCGGUGAAAUGCGUAGAUAUCUGGAGGAACACCGGUGGCGAAGGCGGCAUCCUGGACCAACACUGACACUGAGGAGCGAAAGCCAGGGGAGCAAACGGG
rnacentral:rRNA from 1 species